rnacentral:rRNA from 1 species
AACGUAGGAGGCAAACGUUAUCCGGAGUUACUGGGCGUAAAGGGCGUGUAGGUGGUUGCGUAAGUCUGGCGUGAAAUAUCUCGGCUUAACCGAGGCAGGUCGUCGGAUACUGCGUAACUGGAGGACGGUAGAGGCGUGUGGAAUUCCGGGUGUAGUGGUGAAAUGCGUAGAGAUCCGGAGGAACACCAGUGGCGAAGGCGACACGCUGGGCCGUACCUGACACUGAUGCGCGACAGCAUGGGGAGCAAACAGG